CCUACGGGUGGCAGCAGUGAGGAAUAUUGGUCAAUGGGCGCUAGCCUGAACCAGCCAAGUAGCGUGAAGGAUGACUGCCCUAUGGGUUGUAAACUUCUUUUAUAUGGGAAUAAAGUGCAGUAUGUAUACUGCUUUGCAUGUACCUUAUGAAUAAGGAUCGGCUAACUCCGUGCCAGCAGCCGCGGUAAUACGGAGGAUGCGAGCGUUAUCCGGAUUUAUUGGGUUUAAAGGGUGCGCAGGCGGGAGAUCAAGUCAGCGGUAAAAUGUCGGGGCUCAACCCCGGCCGGCCGUUGAAACUGGUUUUCUAGAGUUGGAGAGAAGUAUGCGGAAUUCGUGGUGUAGCGGUGAAAUGCAUAGAUAUCACGAAGAACUCCGAUUGCGAAGGCAGCAUACCGGCUCCAUACUGACGCUGAGGCACGAAAGCGUGGGGAUCGAACAGGAUUAGAUACCCCUGUAGUC
rnacentral:rRNA from 1 species